rnacentral:lncRNA from 1 species
UUGUGGAUCUUAUUAUUUACUUUUCUUUCACUUUCAAUGUUGACCUUGUUCUUUCAUAUAAUUGAACACGCACAUUGCAUGCAGUAUCCUCCACUAGCUAAGGGGUUAAAUUGAAGUUCACAUAAAUAAGAAUGUAAUGAGGUCAAAUUAUAUACUUACAAGUGAAUAAUUCAUGAUCAAUGUUUCUUACUUUUUUAUGACAAAAUUGAACCAUACUGGCUGCUAAAAACGAUAUAUUAUUUCACUAUUUCAUUUUUAUGAAUGAUUGAACUAAACAAAUCCUAUGUAUAUAAAAUUGGAUGGAAAUGGGGAAUGUGCCAAAGAGACAACAACCCGACCAUAGAAAAAAA